AGGUGAUUAGUUCAGUGGUAGAGCAUUUGCCUUACAAGCAAAGAGUCACUGGUUCGAAUCCGGUAUCACCUA
rnacentral:tRNA from 1 species